GAUUAACGCUGGCGGCGUGCAUAACACAUGCAAGUCGAACGAUGAAACUUAAAUGAUUUCUUCGGAAUGAACUUAAGUGGAUUAGUGGCGGACGGGUGAGUAACGCGUGAGUAACCUGCCUUACACAAGGGGAUAGCCGUUGGAAACGACGAAUAAUACCCUAUGAAACUAUCACUUCGCAUGAAGCGAUAGUCAAAGUGUUAGCGGUGUAAGAUGGACUUGCGUCUGAUUAGCUAGUUGGUGAGAAAAAAGCCCACCAAGGCAACGAUCAGUAGCCGGCUUGAGAGAGUGUACGGCCACAUUGAGACUGAGACACGGCCCAGACUCCUACGGGAGGCAGCAGUGGGGAAUUUUGCACAAUGGGGGAAACCCUGAUGCAGCGACGCCGCGUGAUUUAGAAGGCCUUCGGGUUGUAAAAAUCUUUUGUAUAGGAAGAAAAUGACAGUACUAUACGAAUAAGGUCCGGCUAAUUACGUG
rnacentral:rRNA from 1 species